UCUCUCUCUCUCUCUCCCUCACUCUCUCUCUCUCUAUCUCUCUCCCUCAUUAUACUUUAAGUUCUAGGCUACAAGUGCAAAUCAAACAACCCCAUCAAAAAAUGGGCAAAGGAUAUGAACAGACACUUUUCAAAAGAAGACAUUUAUGCAGCCAACAGACACGUGAAAAAAUGCUCAUUAUCACUGUCAUCAGAGAAAUGCAAAUCGGUAGAAUUUGGGUGUGUAUCCAUCUGGUCUUCGGCUUUUUUUUUGUUUUUUGUGUUUUUUCUGGUUGGUAGUCUAUUUAUUACUAAUCUCGCUCUGUCGCCCAGGCUGGAGUGCAGUGGCAGGAUCUCGGCUCACUGCAAGCUCCGCCUCCCGGGUUCACGCCAUUCUCCUGCCUCAGCCUCCCAAGUAGCUGGGACUACAGGCGCCCGCCACUACGCCCGGCUAAUUUUUU
rnacentral:lncRNA from 10 species